rnacentral:rRNA from 1 species
GAUGAACGCUAGCGGCAGGCCUAACACAUGCAAGUCGAGGGGCAGCGUAGAUUGCUUGCAAUCUGACGGCGACCGGCGCACGGGUGCGUAACGCGUAUACAAUCUACCUUUUACUAAGGGAUAGCCCAUGGAAACGUGGAUUAAUACCUUAUAGUAUGCAGAUCUCGCAUGAGCAUCUGUAUUAAAGUUUACGGUAAAAGAUGAGUAUGCGUCCUAUUAGCUAUUAUGUAGGGUAACGGCCUACAUAGGCUAUGAUAGGUAGGGGUUCUGAGAGGGAAGCCCCCCACACUGGUACUGAGACACGGACCAGACUCCUACGGGAGGCAGCAGUGAGGAAUAUUGGACAAUGGGAGCAAUCCUGAUCCAGCCAUGCCGCGUGCAGGAAGACGGUCCUAUGGAUUGUAAACUGCUUUUAUACAGGAAGAAAAAGACCGACGUGUCGGUUGUUGACGGUACUGUAUGAAUAAGGAUCGGCUAACUCCGUGCCAGCAGCCGCGGUAAUACGGGGGAUCCGAGCGUUAUCCGGAAUUGUUGGGUUUAAAGGGUCCGUAGGCGGGAUAAUAAGUCAGUGGUGAAAGUUUGUGGCUCAACCAUAAAAUUGCCAUUGAUACUGUUAUUCUUGAGUUAUUGUGAAGUGGUUAGAAUGUGUAGUGUAGCGGUGAAAUGCAUAGAUCUUACACAGAAUACCAAUUGCGAAGGCCAGAUCACUAACAAUGAACUGACGCUGAUGGACGAAAGCGUAGGUAGCGAACCAGGAUUAGAUACCCUGGUAGUCUACGCAGUAAACCGAUGGUNUACUAGCUGUUCCGGUCUAAUUGAGGGCUGAGUG